rnacentral:rRNA from 1 species
GGGUUGUGAGGUUAAGCGACUAAGCGUACACGGUGGAUGCCCUGGCAGUCAGAGGCGAUGAAGGACGUGCUAAUCUGCGAAAAGCGUCGGUAAGGUGAUAUGAACCGUUACAGCCGGCGAUGUCCGAAUGGGGAAACCCAGUGCAAUUCGUUGCACUAUCGUUAACUGAAUACAUAGGUUAACGAGGCGAACCGGGGGAACUGAAACAUCUAAGUACCCCGAGGAAAAGAAAUCAACCGAGAUUCCCCCAGUAGCGGCGAGCGAACGGGGAGCAGCCCAGAGUCUGAAUCAGCUUGUGUGUUAGUGGAACGGUCUGGAAAGUCCGACGGUACAGGGUGAUAGUCCCGUACACCAAAAUGCACAGGCUGUGAACUCGAAGAGUAGGGCGGGACACGUGGUAUCCUGUCUGAAUAUGGGGGGACCAUCCUCCAAGGCUAAAUACUCCUGACUGACCGAUAGUGAACCAGUACCGUGAGGGAAAGGCGAAAAGAACCCCGGCGAGGGGAGUGAAAAAGAACCUGAAACCGUGUACGUACAAGCAGUGGGAGCACCUUCGGGUGUGACUGCGUACCUUUUGUAUAAUGGGUCAGCGACUUAUAUUCUGUAGCAAGGUUAACCGUAUAGGGGAGCCGCAGGGAAACCGAGUCUUAACUGGGCGUUAAGUUGCAGGGUAUAGACCCGAAACCCGGUGAUCUAGCCAUGGGCAGGUUGAAGGUUGGGUAACACUAACUGGAGGACCGAACCGACUAAUGUUGAAAAAUUAGCGGAUGACUUGUGGCUGGGGGUGAAAGGCCAAUCAAACCGGGAGAUAGCUGGUUCUCCCCGAAAGCUAUUUAGGUAGCGCCUCGUGAAUUCAUCUUCGGGGGUAGAGCACUGUUUCGGCUAGGGGGUCAUCCCGACUUACCAACCCGAUGCAAACUACGAAUACCGAAGAAUGUUAUCACGGGAGACACACGGCGGGUGCUAACGUCCGUCGUGAAGAGGGAAACAACCCAGACCGCCAGCUAAGGUCCCAAAGUCAUGGUUAAGUGGGAAACGAUGUGGGAAGGCACAGACAGCCAGGAUGUUGGCUUAGAAGCAGCCAUCAUUUAAAGAAAGCGUAAUAGCUCACUGGUCGAGUCGGCCUGCGCGGAAGAUGUAACGGGGCUAAACCAUGCACCGAAGCUGCGGCAGCGACACUAUGUGUUGUUGGGUAGGGGAGCGUUCUGUAAGCCUGCGAAGGUGUGCUGUGAGGCAUGCUGGAGGUAUCAGAAGUGCGAAUGCUGACAUAAGUAACGAUAAAGCGGGUGAAAAGCCCGCUCGCCGGAAGACCAAGGGUUCCUGUCCAACGUUAAUCGGGGCAGGGUGAGUCGACCCCUAAGGCGAGGCCGAAAGGCGUAGUCGAUGGGAAACAGGUUAAUAUUCCUGUACUUGGUGUUACUGCGAAGGGGGGACGGAGAAGGCUAUGUUAGCCGGGCGACGGUUGUCCCGGUUUAAGCAUGUAGGCUGGUUGUCCAGGCAAAUCCGGAUAAUCAAGGCUGAGGUGUGAUGACGAGGCACUACGGUGCUGAAGUAACAAAUGCCCUGCUUCCAGGAAAAGCCUCUAAGCAUCAGGUAACAUCAAAUCGUACCCCAAACCGACACAGGUGGUCAGGUAGAGAAUACCAAGGCGCUUGAGAGAACUCGGGUGAAGGAACUAGGCAAAAUGGUGCCGUAACUUCGGGAGAAGGCACGCUGGUGUGUAGGUGAAGUCCCUGCGGAUGGAGCUGAGACCAGUCGAAGAUACCAGCUGGCUGCAACUGUUUAUUAAAAACACAGCACUGUGCAAACACGAAAGUGGACGUAUACGGUGUGACGCCUGCCCGGUGCCGGAAGGUUAAUUGAUGGGGUUAUCCGUAAGGAGAAGCUCUUGAUCGAAGCCCCGGUAAACGGCGGCCGUAACUAUAACGGUCCUAAGGUAGCGAAAUUCCUUGUCGGGUAAGUUCCGACCUGCACGAAUGGCGUAAUGAUGGCCAGGCUGUCUCCACCCGAGACUCAGUGAAAUUGAACUCGCUGUGAAGAUGCAGUGUACCCGCGGCAAGACGGAAAGACCCCGUGAACCUUUACUAUAGCUUGACACUGAACAUUGAGCCUUGAUGUGUAGGAUAGGUGGGAGGCUUUGAAGCGUGGACGCCAGUCUGCGUGGAGCCAACCUUGAAAUACCACCCUUUAAUGUUUGAUGUUCUAACGUUGGCCCCUUACCGGGGUUGCGGACAGUGUCUGGUGGGUAGUUUGACUGGGGCGGUCUCCUCCCAAAGCGUAACGGAGGAGCACGAAGGUUAGCUAAUCCUGGUCGGACAUCAGGAGGUUAGUGCAAUGGCAUAAGCUAGCUUGACUGCGAGCGUGACGGCGCGAGCAGGUGCGAAAGCAGGUCAUAGUGAUCCGGUGGUUCUGAAUGGAAGGGCCAUCGCUCAACGGAUAAAAGGUACUCCGGGGAUAACAGGCUGAUACCGCCCAAGAGUUCAUAUCGACGGCGGUGUUUGGCACCUCGAUGUCGGCUCAUCACAUCCUGGGGCUGAAGUAGGUCCCAAGGGUAUGGCUGUUCGCCAUUUAAAGUGGUACGCGAGCUGGGUUUAGAACGUCGUGAGACAGUUCGGUCCCUAUCUGCCGUGGGCGCUGGAGAAUUGAGGGGGGCUGCUCCUAGUACGAGAGGACCGGAGUGGACGCAUCACUGGUGUUCGGGUUGUCAUGCCAAUGGCACUGCCCGGUAGCUAAAUGCGGAAGAGAUAAGUGCUGAAAGCAUCUAAGCACGAAACUUGCCCCGAGAUGAGUUCUCCCUGAGACUUUAAGUCUCCUGAAGGAACGUUAAAGACGAUGACGUUGAUAGGCCGGGUGUGUAAGCGCAGCGAUGCGUUGAGCUAACCGGUACUAAUGAACCGUGAGGCUUAACCUUACAACGCCGAAG